rnacentral:lncRNA from 1 species
AUGCCCUAUAGUGUGUGUAGGGAACGGGGCCGAAGGUUGGGACAGAUAAGCUUCAUCUCUCCCCUGCGGCGUGCGUCCGUCCAGAGAAGUCACGGUGUUCCCCCCCUUCCCACUGUCUGUUGUCAUCAGCAGAAGGGGGCGGGGUCUUCUCCCCAUCUUCCCCAGAAUCGGUGCUGGCUUCCUCCUCGUCAUCCUUCUGCCUUCCAUUUUGCUGCCUUUCAGCUAGCAUGCUCUGGAGCUUCAUGAUCUCUCGAUCAUGUUGGAGUUCUCUCUGAUAGAGGAUCAAGGCUAACUUAGCUAAGUGAACCUGGAUUGGUUUUGUACCAUCCGGGUUUUCUAUUUGAUCAAUUACAGCUUCUAGCUCGUCGCUACGCUGUUCUUCAGUGAAAUCCCUAGAAGGGUAGUCGGGUUCUCGAGCAACCGCGACCAGUUUGGACAAUAUUUGUCCAGAAAGUAGGCCAGGUUCAUAGUCGUGGGCCGCAGCGCCACCUGGUUGCUGGGAGUUGGUCAGUUCACUACUCUGUCCCUCCAUUUUAACAACCGAACCAAAAAUAGCCUAGUAGAGCUUCUGCAGAUAGCUCAAGCUGCACCUUUUGGGCAGCAACUGCUAGCUUUGUAGCAGAAAAACACUAAAUUAACCUUUGUGCGCACAGGUUUUAGCGUUUUAAGAUUGCACGGAAUGCCGUGACUGACGCUUAAAAUACUAUUCCUUUCAGUAUUUUAGCAAAAGCUGGUGCGUUGCCGUAGCAACGUCUUACAACACUUGCAGUGUUAAAUAUGCUAGUUAUUCCUUCAGAAUAUUAGCAAACAGGGUGUUAUCAGUCUUUGAGUGAAGGUUUCAGUUAGUUAUAAUAGCCACUGUGAGUUAAAGUCGCUAAAUUAGCAGUUAAUUUUAGCCUAAAAGGGUUAGUCAGAAUUACUUACACGCUGCACCUUUAAUGAGGAACUGAAUUUUAACCUAAAAGGUUAGCCAGAAUUAAUUACACGUUGCACCUUUAAGGAAAAACUGAAUUUUAACCUAAAAGGUUAGCCAGAAUUAAUUACACGUUGCACCUUUAAGGAAAAACUGAAUUUUAACCUAAAAGGUUAGCCAGAAUUAAUUACACGUUGCACCUUUAAGGAAAAACUGAAUUUUAACCUAAAAGGUUAGCCAGAAUUAAUUACACGUUGCACCUUUAAGGAAAAACUGAAUUUUAACCUAAAAGGUUAGCCAGAAUUAAUUACACGUUGCACCUUUAAGGAAAAGCUGAAUUUUAACCUAAAAGGUUAGCCAGAAUUAAUUACACGUUGCACCUUUAAGGAAAAACUGAAUUUUAACCUAAAAGGUUAGCCAGAAUUAAUUACACGUUGCACCUUUAAGGAAAAACUGAAUUUUAACCUAAAAGGUUAGCCAGAAUUAAUUACACGUUGCACCUUUAAGGAAAAACUGAAUUUUAACCUAAAAGGUUAGCCAGAAUUAAUUACACGUUGCACCUUUAAGGAAAAACUGAAUUUUAACCUAAAAGGUUAGCCAGAAUUAAUUACACGUUGCACCUUUAAGGAAAAACUGAAUUUUAACCUAAAAGGUUAGCCAGAAUUAAUUACACGUUGCACCUUUAAGGAAAAACUGAAUUUUAACCUAAAAGGUUAGCCAGAAUUAAUUACACGUUGCACCUUUAAGGAAAAACUGAAUUUUAACCUAAAAGGUUAGCCAGAAUUAAUUACACGUUGCACCUUUAAGGAAAAACUGAAUUUUAACCUAAAAGGUUAGCCAGAAUUAAUUACACGUUGCACCUUUAAGGAAAAACUGAAUUUUAACCUAAAAGGUUAGCCAGAAUUAAUUACACGUUGCACCUUUAAGGAAAAACUGAAUUUUAACCUAAAAGGUUAGCCAGAAUUAAUUACACGUUGCACCUUUAAGGAAAAACUGAAUUUUAACCUAAAAGGUUAGCCAGAAUUAAUUACACGUUGCACCUUUAAGGAAAAACUGAAUUUUAACCUAAAAGGUUAGCCAGAAUUAAUUACACGUUGCACCUUUAAGGAAAAACUGAAUUUUAACCUAAAAGGUUAGCCAGAAUUAAUUACACGUUGCACCUUUAAGGAAAAACUGAAUUUUAACCUAAAAGGUUAGCCAGAAUUAAUUACACGUUGCACCUUUAAGGAAAAACUGAAUUUUAACCUAAAAGGUUAGCCAGAAUUAAUUACACGUUGCACCUUUAAGGAAAAACUGAAUUUUAACCUAAAAGGUUAGCCAGAAUUAAUUACACGUUGCACCUUUAAGGAAAAACUGAAUUUUAACCUAAAAGGUUAGCCAGAAUUAAUUACACGUUGCACCUUUAAGGAAAAACUGAAUUUUAACCUAAAAGGUUAGCCAGAAUUAAUUACACGUUGCACCUUUAAGGAAAAACUGAAUUUUAACCUAAAAGGUUAGCCAGAAUUAAUUACACGUUGCACCUUUAAGGAAAAACUGAAUUUUAACCUAAAAGGUUAGCCAGAAUUAAUUACACGUUGCACCUUUAAGGAAAAACUGAAUUUUAACCUAAAAGGUUAGCCAGAAUUAAUUACACGUUGCACCUUUAAGGAAAAACUGAAUUUUAACCUAAAAGGUUAGCCAGAAUUAAUUACACGUUGCACCUUUAAGGAAAAACUGAAUUUUAACCUAAAAGGUUAGCCAGAAUUAAUUACACGUUGCACCUUUAAGGAAAAACUGAAUUUUAACCUAAAAGGUUAGCCAGAAUUAAUUACACGUUGCACCUUUAAGGAAAAACUGAAUUUUAACCUAAAAGGUUAGCCAGAAUUAAUUACACGUUGCACCUUUAAGGAAA